rnacentral:lncRNA from 1 species
AAUUGCAUUGUACUUUUAAUUACAUAGUCUUAAUUUUUGUGGUGACACUCCAGGCUCUCAUAUAAUGUUGUUUAAUGUUUACAUCUCCUUAUUGAUUUGAUAAUUUAAAUACAAAAUGUCAUUUAAUUUGCAUAUUUCUACAUUCAUUGUUGGGGUGCUGUGCUCAUUAAGGAAUCAGGGGAAUUCUGUCUUUUCCCCCAUCUCUUUCAUGCACAUGCAGGCAUGUAUGUUCCAUAUUUCCUUUUCUUAGGCACCAAAUGCUUUUCUUCUCCACUGCUGUGAGACCAUGAUCCUCUCUAUGCUUGACACUUUGAACCCAGGGGUUUGGUGUGAUAUGGGCUGCUGCUCCAGGCAGCUCUUUUUCUGGCACUCCUUGGAGGUGGCUGAAGAUAGUGGUGGGUAGUUCAAGAGCUACUACUGAGCACGCUAGCUUUGGCGGGCUCUUUCUUCACCUGGGAAUUAUUGCAAUUUUGAUUAAGAAGACUGGAAACGGGUCCCUUUGGUUGCACCAGAGCUCUGAAAUACUGACCCAUUAUUUGUCCCUUCUCUUGUGGAUCCCAAUGUAUCCUAAGCGGCUGCAGCCCAUGGCAGACAUUCCUCCUUAUUUAACCGUUUUCCAUUCCCUUUUGCUUCCUGUGUGCUCUUCUCAGUGACUUGUCCCAUGAGUGUCUGCCGCUCCGCGCCCGCGCUGGACGCGGGGCCGGUCAUCUCGCAAAGUCCCGCCGCCGCCGCCGCUGCUUGCCGCCCCGCUCGCUGCCGGCGCCGGGAGCGCGUCUGUCGUUGCGCGGGGAAGCGGAGCGGGUGCGUGUGUGUGUGUGUGUGUGUGUGUGUGUGCGCGUGUUGCGCGCGCGCGGACAUCGC